UCCCCCUGCGUGCCCCCUCACCUCGCUCCUGCUCCGCUUGCAGGCAGAUAGGAAUGUUUUUCUUCCAGCCCGGCAUGUUCCCAGAUUUGCACUUCUCUCCUUCAGGGGUUACUGCACCUUUGGCACAUAGCAGAUCGUAGUCCCAGGGGAAGCGUUUCCAAGCCGGCUCUAUAUGCAGCUCCUCUCUAGUCUGUGCUGCUGCUGCUACUGGGCGAUGGCUUAAAUGGGGGGAAUCACGGUUGGCUCCGGGCAGGAGGGGCUGCAGAAGCGGCGGCGGCGGCAGCACACGGAAGGCACUGGAGUAGGAGGAACAAGUGCAGAGAGCGAUAGAGGCACAGGACUAAGGGGGAGGGAGACAGGAGCAGGAGGCGGGCGCUUCAACUUCACUCACCGGAGAGGGUGGAGGCUCAGUGCUGAUAUUCCCUGUGCCUGCCGGGCAUGCUUUUCAGUUUGGGCAUGAUGUUUGCUCUGCCGUGUGCCGCCCCCUUCCACCUGACUGACCUGGGUGUAGUAACACUACAAUGAAGCGAAUAUAAAACUAUAAAAGAACUUUCAAGUCCCACAGGCUGUUACUAUCUAUACGCUGUACUCAACUGAACACUUAUGCUCAAGAAAGAAAGGGAAGUAGCUAUCGUGAAUUGCACAGCUGCAAUUUAUAGAACAAAGCUUGACAAUAUUGGAUGGCAAACAGGCUUUUGAAACUCAAGAUGUUUGAAAACCACUGGCAUAAGAUUUGAGGUGAACCACUGUCACACCUGAAGUUCCCUAAAUGAAGAGAGGACAGGGGAGGGGAUUCUGUAUCCAGCAGGUUUAUACAUAUCCAAGAAUUUAAAAUGGGAAGGGGAACGUGAAACACCACUUCUCGUAUAUUGUUAUGGGUUUGAAGAUGUUAAUGCUUAACAAUGUUGCUCAAACAUGAGUUAUCUAGGAUUCCCACGUUUCAGCAUUCUUCCAAAUAUUAUUCAUCUGUUUGGAGCAGAGAUUCAUGGUAAGAGCUGAAGUAGUAUUAAUGUAAAGGAAGCAUGGUGUGAAUAAAAAAAAGUGUGCAUUCCCUUUGGUGUUAGCAAGAACUGAACUAAUACAUUCUUUUUCAGAGAGCUUAAAAAACAACUAAAACUCUUGCAACUUGGAAAAAGAUGGCAUGGUAGGAUCAGUCUGAGCCUAAAAUAUUGAUUCCAGUAGACCCAAAGAUAUAAAUGUUGUCAAUCAUUGUUUGACAAUAACUUCUGUCUUUUCUAAGACUUUAGUAGACAUAACAGUAAGAUCUUUUGAACUCCUCACAGCCAUGUAAGCUGUAAGUUGCCUUCACCCAGCCACAAGUGCAUUUAUCAAGCUAUGUAACUAUUGUAACUUUGACAUUCCCUUAGAAUGGGAGGCAAUAAAAAGGGUGUCAGGGCAUAAAGGAUUACAAAACCAAACAUGAAGAUAUUAUAUGAAUGGUUUGAGGAAGGGGCUAAGUAAUUAUCUGCUGAGUACUCCUCUCAGUGCUGACAUGAGAAGCAGUUGCAAAUAGGUCUGAUAAUUUGACUUAAAUUGUUACAGGUCACUAUACAUUUAAAUAUCCAUACAAAACAUAAAGGCUAAUGAUCUGCUUUGGAAAAAAAUUCUGGAUAUUAAUGCCCACACUUUGGGGGUUAUUUAUCAAA